rnacentral:misc_RNA from 1 species
AAGUCGUAACAAGGUUUCCGUAGGUGAACCUGCGGAAGGAUCAUUAUUGGAUUAUCCUUUUGGAUUUUAAAUCCAUAUCCACCUCUGUGCACUGUUUAACGUUAGCUCCCUUUCGGCGUACCACCAAAACGGUAAUAGUCUCAGUCUCGUAAGAGGGUUUGGCUGUUACUGGGUGCGUUGGGAGGGUAGCACUUACUUUAUACCUUAUGUCUUUAACUACCUGUCUGAAGUAUUGGUUUUAUAAAUCAAAUUUAUAAAUACAACUUUCAACAACGGAUCUCUAGGCUCCCA